ACUCAAAUGAAUUGACGGGGGCCCGCACAAGCAGCGGAGCAUGUGGUUUAAUUCGACGCAACGCGAAGAACCUUACCUGGGCUUGACAUGUUCUUGAUCGGCGUGGAAACACGUCUUCCCUCACGGGCAAGAUCACAGGUGGUGCAUGGCUGUCGUCAGCUCGUGUCGUGAGAUGUUGGGUUAAGUCCCGCAACGAGCGCAACCCCCGUCGUAUGUUGCCAGCAUUUAGUUGGGGACUCAUGCGAGACUGCCGGUGGCAAACCGGAGGAAGGUGGGGAUGACGUCAAGUCAUCAUGCCCCUUAUGUCCAGGGCUACACACGUGCUACAUUGGCGUAUACAAAGGGUUGCGAUACCGCGAGGUGGAGCGAAUCUCACAAAGUACGUCUCGGUUCGGAUUGCAGGCUGAAACUCGCCUGCAUGAAGGUGGAGUUGCUAGUAAUCGUGGAUCAGCAAUGCCGCGGUGAAUACGUUCCCGGGCCUUGUACACACCGCCCGU
rnacentral:rRNA from 1 species